rnacentral:lncRNA from 1 species
ACACAAAAUACUGCUUAUCCUGGAUCCUACCAUGGUUAUGACGACUCGUGGAAAUUUGACGAUUUUAAAAAGGUAAUGCAUGAAUGUUGAAAAAUAAUUCUGAAUGUUCAGCACUUUUGGAAUUAUCCUGUAGUAGGUAGCUGUGUUGAUAUUAAAGUAUGCAGCUGUGGGAACAACCUCAUGGAACGAGGUUGCUGUGGGAAGCGGUCUGGGGAAUCUUAAAUUCAUCCAAAUUAACCAGUGUAUAUUGAUUAGAUAGCAACACAACUGAGCUCUGAAACCAAAUUAUAAUGUAUCACUACUUUCAUUCUUCAACAAGAUAUCUGCAAGAUUUAAGAUUAGGAGAGCAGGAUAGACAAUUCCCAUUAUAGACUAAUUUUAAAACUUUAGGCAAGGAGAUGCAAAUAAAUCACCACAGCCAGAAAGAGCAUACUAAAAUGAGGAAAAACUGUAAAAUUGCAAAGUUUGGUCACGAAAUGUUGUAAAAUGCGGAAAUUGUAGCCUUGCAAAGUUUGCAAAUUUUGUAUGCUUUUGUAUUGCAUGUGGAAAUUGCUACUGUUUUCAAGCCCAAAUGUGGUGGCAAUUUCUCCAUGCAAUACAAAAGUAUACAAAAUUUGCAAACUUUGAAAAGCUAUAUGUUCCACGUUUUACAACAUUUUGCAACCAAACUUUGCAAUUUUACUCAUUUUAGUAUUCUCCUUCCAGGAAUAUACUUGAGAUAAAAAAGUCUACAAUGGGAAUUGUCUAUUGACAUUUUAAGCAUGGACGUUAUGUAUUAGGGGGGGGGGGGGGGGGGGNNNNNNNNNNNNNNNNNNNNNNNCCCUUCCCCCCCCCCCCCCCAGUCACUGUGUGAUAAAUAUAAAUAGUGUCUUGUUACUGUGGUAUUACUGAAAAUUUUGUUUCCACUGAAAUUCUUUCAGAACUUUAGGAUUGACAUUGUGAGCCUUACAGAAAAUGAAAUUGAGUUUGACAUGGUUGGUAUUGAUGCUUCAAUAGCUAAUGCUUUUCGAAGAAUUCUCUUGGCCGAGGUGCCUACCAUGGCAAUUGAAAAAAUUCAUAUCUUCAAUAAUAC